rnacentral:rRNA from 1 species
ACAUACGACCAUAGGGUGUGGAAAACAGGGCUUCCCGUCCGCUCAGCCGUACUUAAGCCACACGCCGGGAGGUUAGUAGUUGGGUGGGUGACCACCAGCGAAUCCCUUCUGUUGUAGGUU